rnacentral:rRNA from 1 species
CCUACGGGUGGCAGCAGUGGGGAAUAUUGCACAAUGGGGGAAACCCUGAUGCAGCGACGCCGCGUGAAGGAAGAAGUAUCUCGGUAUGUAAACUUCUAUUAGCAGGGAAGAUAACAGACGGUACCUGACUAAGAAGCCCCGGCUACUUACGUGCCAGCAGCGGCGGUAAUAGGUAGGGGGCAAGCUUUAUCCGGAUAGACUGGGUGUAAAGGGGGCGCAGACGGGCAUGGCAAGCCCGGUGUGAAAGGCAGGGGCAUAACCCCUGGACUGCACUGGGAACUGUCAUGCUGGAGUGAGGGAGGGGUAAGCGGAAUUCUUGGUGUAGCGGUAAAAUCCGUAGAGAUCAAGAGGAACACCCGCGGCGAAGGCGACUUACUAGACGGCAACUGACGUUGAGGCCCGAAAGCGUGGGGAGCGAACAGGAUUAGAUACCCGUGUAGUC